rnacentral:ncRNA from 2 species
CCAAUUCGCGGAGAUGGCGUUCUCCCUUAACCGCCUACCAGGGCUGAUGACGCCUGCUUCAUG